GGAGUGGCAUUGAGCAAGCCAAGCAGC
rnacentral:piRNA from 1 species